AGAGUUUGAUCCUGGCUCAGGAUGAACGCUAGCGGCAGGCCUAAUACAUGCAAGUCGAACGGGAAGGUCUCUUCGGAGAUACACGAGUGGCGCACGGGUGAGUAACACGUAUGCAACCUACCAUUAACUGGGGGAUAGCUCCGGGAAACCGGAAUUAAUACUUCAUAAUAUUAUCGAGAGGCAUCUCUUGAUGAUCAAAGUUCCGGUGGUUAAAGAUGGGCAUGCGUGACAUUAGUUUGUUGGUGAGGUAACGGCUCACCAAGACUACGAUGUCUAGGGGGUCUGAGAGGAUGAUCCCCCACACUGGUACUGAGACACGGACCAGACUCCUACGGGAGGCAGCAGUGAGGAAUAUUGCACAAUGGACGAAAGUCUGAUGCAGCCAUGCCGCGUGCAGGAUGAAUGCCCUACGGGUUGUAAACUGCUUUUAUAUGGGAAGAAACCCUCUUACGUGUAAGAGGCUGACGGUACCAUAAGAAUAAGGACCGGCUAACUCCGUGCCAGCAGCCGCGGUAAUACGGAGGGUCCAAGCGUUAUCCGGAUUUAUUGGGUUUAAAGGGUCCGUAGGCGGGAAAUUAAGUCAGUGGUGAAAGCCUACAGCUCAAACUGAGAACUGCCCAUUGAUACUGUUGUUCUAGAGUAUAGUUGGCGUAGGCGGAAUGUAUCAUGUAGCGGUGAAAUGCUUAGAUAUGAUACAGAACACCAAUUGCGAAGGCAGCUUACUAAGCUAUUAUUGACGCUCAGGCACGAAAGCGUGGGGAGCGAACAGGAUUAGAUACCCUGGUAGUCCACGCCGUAAACAAUGAUUACUCGUUGUCGGCGAUACACAGUCGGUGUCUAAGCGAAAGUGAUAAGUCAUCCACCUGGGGAGUGAUUGGCAAGGUUGAAAACUCAAAGGAAAUUGACGAGGGCCCGCACAACCGGUGAAGCAUGUGGUUUAAUUUCGAUGAUACGGCGAGGAGCCUUACCUGGGCUUAAAUGAAGAAUGACCGUUCGGUAAACCGGACUUCUCUUCGGGGCGGAUUGCAAGGUGCUGCAUGGUUGUCGUCAGCUCGUGCCGUGAGGUGUCGGGUUAAGUCCCAUAACGAGCGCAACCCCUAUUCUUAGUUGCCAUCAGAUAAUGCUGGGGACUCUAAGGAAACUGCCUACGCAAGUAGUGAGGAAGGUGGGGAUGACGUCAAAUCAGCACGGCCCUUAUGUCCAGGGCUACACACGUGCUACAAUGGUCGGUACAGAGGGUCGCUACCUGGUGACAGGAUGCUAAUCUCAAAAACCGAUCUCAGUUCGGAUCGAAGUCUGCAACUCGACUUCGUGAAGCUGGAUUCGCUAGUAAUCGCAUAUCAGCAAUGGUGCGGUGAAUACGUUCCCGGGCCUUGUACACACCGCCCGUCA
rnacentral:rRNA from 1 species